UCGAUAUAUUCACUAGCCGAUUUCGACAUAUCGACCAGUCGCUUCCAAUAUAUCGCUUGGUACACUUCGAUAUGCAGCCUGGUCGAUAUCGAUGUAACAGUGUUGACACAUGUAGAAAUCUUUUCCUUCCAUCAACAUGGUACUUGGCUAACACGCAGGUUUCUAGUUCUGUCUUGUGAAAAGUCACAUCCAAAAAUUACAGGAGGAAAAUGGAAAUCAAGAUCAUUUUUUUAAGGAGUGAAGGAAAAUAUCUGGACCCACUACAAAUAAAAUAAACACAGGGAGGAGAAAGUCUUGUAACAAGGCAAUUUGAAUUGAUACACUUUCUCCUCUAACAAAAGGACAAAUAUCAAAGAGAAAACAAGAACUGUGGGGAAACAACUUGUGAUUUACCUUAUACAAGCACAGCCCAGUCUCGCAAUGCUUUCUGUUGGCUGUACAAUGCAUUCCACCAUGACCAAUAGAAGUUGUUUCAACAUCAGAGUGGCCUGAGGGAUGCUGGGAGACUCCGUACCUAACAACAACAGACGGAGAAAGUUUUGUAAUCCUUGAAAUCAAAAUGGAGCCCCACCUUGUUGCAGCUGGGUGAGGAAGUUAACUACGAGGUCUGUAGUGAGGCCACAGCACUGCUUAAAGUUGGGUGCGAAGUUGUCCCAGCCUCGAAC